CCUACGGGCGGCUGCAGUGAGGAAUAUUGGUCAAUGGGCGGGAGCCUGAACCAGCCAAGUCGCGUGCGGGAAGACGGUACUGAGUAUUGUAAACCUCUUUUGCCAGGGGACAAACGCAGCCACGCGUAUCCGUAUGAGAGUACCUGACGAAAAAGCAUCGGCUAACUCCGUUCCAGCAGCCGCGGUAAUACGGGGGAUGCGAGCGUUAUCCGGAUUUAUUGGGUUUAAAGGGUGCGCAGGCGGCGUGUAAAGUCAGGGGUAAAAUGGGGGGGCUCAACCCCGGCCUGCCCUUGAAACUGGUGUGCUAGAGAGGGAGAGAAGUAUGCGGAAUGUGUGGUGUAGCGGUGAAAUGCAUAGAGAUCAUGCAGAACCCCGAUUGCGAAGGCAGCUUACCGGGCUAAUACUGACGUUGAGGCACGAAAGCGUGGGUAUCGAACAGGAUUAGAUACCCGAGUAGUC
rnacentral:rRNA from 1 species